GGGGGCGUAAAGGUUUCGACGGGGACUUUGAGCCAUGGUAAGCGGGUAGAGGUGCGGCACCUCUUUAAACAGCGGCAAUUCUUAAAUAUAAACGCUAAUAACGAUUUAGCUCUGGCUGCCUAAGUUGCGGCCCGUUCCCCGGGAGAGUAUCGCGGCUCCCGGCUGAGCGUCAUUUAGCGAUGAACGUGCGUUGAAACUUUUCGGUUGCAUCGACCACGCAUAAAACCGAUACCUGCGGAGCAGCCUGACAGCCGGCGGCUCCAAGGGGAAGCUUAGUAGACUGCCUGCACCCGGAGAAAGCUGUGUCAAGAGGUUUUCGGACAGGGGUUCGACUCCCCUCGCCUCCACCA
rnacentral:tmRNA from 1 species